rnacentral:rRNA from 1 species
UACGAAGGGGGCUAGCGUUGUUCGGAAUUACUGGGCGUAAAGCGCACGUAGGCGGCUUCUUAAGUUAGGGGUGAAAGCCCAGGGCUCAACCCUGGAAAUGCCCUUAAGACUGGGAAGCUUGAACACGGGAGAGGUGAGUGGAAUUCCGAGUGUAGAGGUGAAAUUCGUAGAUAUUCGGAGGAACACCAGUGGCGAAGGCGGCUCACUGGACCGUAGUUGACGCUGAGGUGCGAAAGCGUGGGGAGCAAACAGG